ACGUCACGCUCACGUGACGGCCAGCAUGCCUUGAUUCUAGGAUCGGGGUGUGUCAUCAUUGGUGUUGAAGAAAAUUCAAAAAUAAAUAAAAAUAAUAGAACUUAAAAUUCUAAAUCUUUAUUAACGAAAACUACUUGCAAUACAGAAUGAAAUAACAUAAAUAAAUACUAAAAUUAAAAUGGUACUAAUUUGACUGAAUCCUAGAUAAAGGCUAGCACAAAAGCUAUGUACUUCGAACAAUAUUUCCGUCUCACUCAUGUGCUUGUGGUUCUACGAUGUUUGCUCGACCAAGAUAUAAUUAUCUAAUUCUACAACCUAAACUAGAUUAUAGAACUCUGGCGAAUUGCUGGAAAAAGAUAAUGUACAAUGGAACUGAGUCUUCAGUUAUAUAGGUUAUUUCAUAUGUUUUCUAAUACCUUUUGAAUGUAUCUGAACCCACACAACUAUUUCCAAACAGUUGUGUCUAUUAAUCAAAACGUUUUUUUUAAUUAAUUUAAUUAAAAAACUUAAUUCGAAAUUAAAAUUAAUAAACUCUGAUUAAUUUUAACAAGCCCAAGGCCCUUGUCUUGAUUAAUUAAUAUUAAUAUUAGGGUAUAAUCAUCACAAGCCUAAUCCACACAAUUAGUGGCCCAAACCUCAAUUCUCAUUCCGAAUGAUCCAAUACCUAAUCACGAAUAAAGGUGACUAACCUAAUAUAAGGACCCCUAGGGAACAUGAGUUCCCCAAUGUGGGACUAAAGGAGCUCAAAACUCCAACAAUUGGAACACUACAAAAAAUCUUCUUUAAAAUGAGGCAAUUAUUAACAAAGCCGCUUUCUUGGCGAAGGAGUUUGAGUGUCUUCAACCAUUUGAGCUCGUAUCAAUCGGGGAAGCAAAAUAGUGAGGUGGUCUCCUUCUCCAGUUGGUAAGUAUAAACUCAAUGCAGAUGCCUCUUCAUACUUGAUACAGAAGAGGUGGGAUUGGCGCAGUCGUUCGUAAUGACCCUUUCUCUAGGCCUCGCCAUCUCACUGAAGCAUGCCGAAAUAAUAAUGGCAGUUCAUCAUGGGUUGUGCUCCGGAGUACCCAAAAAGGUCUUACUUGUAUAAUGGCUGAAUCAUAUUCAAAAGAAGUAAGGCUCGUUUGGAAACUCUUUAAAAAUGACUGAAAGCGCUUGUAGGGAAAAUAUUUUUGUGUUCCAAAAACACUAGUUAUGUACACUUCUAGUGAUUAUCCAGAAUUCACUUGUAUUUUUACUAAAGAUUAAAAAUUAGGGUAAAUUACACUUUCAUACCUCAGGUUUGGAGUCUAUUUCAAUUCCUUACAAUAUCUUCAAAACAUUUCACUUUCAUACCUUAAGUACUAUUUUAUUUCAAAAUAAUACAUCCGUUACAUUUUCCAUUCAUUGAUCCGUUAAAUGCUGACGUGGCUGCCACAUAUAUGCCACAUGGCUGCCAAAUGUCUGCCACGUGGCAAAAAAUAAA
rnacentral:lncRNA from 1 species